GACGAACGCUGGCGGCGUGCUUAACACAUGCAAGUCGAACGGUGAAGCGCCUUCCUUUUUGUUGGGCGUGGAUGAGUUGCGAACGGGUGAGUAACACGUGAGUAACCUGCCCCCUUCUUCUGGAUAACCGCAUGAAAGUUUGGCUAAUACGGCAUAUUCUGGGUCUGUCGCAUGAUGGGUCUGGGGAAGAUAUUGUUUCGGUGGGGGAUGGGCUCGCGGCCUAUCAGCUUGUUGGUGGGGUGAUGGCCUACCAAGGCGGUGACGGGUAGCCGACCUGAGAGGGUGGACGGUCACACUGGGGAUGCAACACCGCCAAGACUACUACGGGAGGCAGCGGUGGGGAAUAUUGCACAGUGGGAGCAAGCCUGAUGCAGCGACGCCGCGUGAGGGAUGGAGGCCUUCGGGUUGUGAACCUCUUUCGCCAGUGAAGCAGGCCUGCCUCGUUUGUGGGUGGGUUGACGGUAGCUGGAUAAGAAGCGCCGGCUAACUACGUG
rnacentral:rRNA from 1 species